rnacentral:rRNA from 1 species
CAAUAGCGUAUAUUAAAGUUGUUGCAGUUAGAACGCUCGUAGUCGGAUUUCGGGGCGGGUCGACCGGUCUGCCGAUGGGUACGCACUGGCCGACGCGUCCUUUUUGCCGGAGACCGUCCCUACUCUUAACUGAGCGGGGUCGGGAGACGGCACUUUUACUUUGAAAAAAUCAGAGUGUUUCAAGCAGGCAGCUCGCUCUUGCAUGGAUUAGCAUGGGAUAAUGAAAUAGGACUUUGGUGCUAUUUUGUUGGUUUCGAACACCGAAGUAAUGAUGAGAAGGGACAGUCAGGGGCACUCGUAUUCCGCCGAGAGAGGUGAAAUUCUCAGACCAGCAGAAGACGAACCACUGCGAAAGCAUUUGCCAGGGAUGUUUNCACUGA